rnacentral:rRNA from 1 species
AGAGAGAGACAUGCGCGCAUAUCAAUAAGCGGAGGAAAAGAAACUAACAAGGAUUCCCCUAGUAACGGCGAGUGAAGCGGGAAGAGCUCAAAUUUGAAAUCUUAAAGGGUUUCCCUUUACGAAUUGUAGUUUAAAGAAGUGUUUUCUGUUGAGGUUUUGGUAAAAGUUCUUUGGAAUAGGACAUCAUAGAGGGUGAGAGUCCCGUAUUUGACCUUUACUUUCAACUUUGUGAUACACUUUCAAAGAGUCGGAUUGUUUGGGAAUGCAGUCCAAAAUGGGUGGUAAAUUUCAUCUAAAGCUAAAUAUUGGCGAGAGACCGAUAGCGAACAAGUACCGUGAGGGAAAGAUGAAAAGAACUUUGAAAAGAGAGUUAAACAGUACGUGAAAUUGUCAAAAGGGAAGCGUUUGACACCAGUGUUGUUUUUCUGAAAAUCAAUUAAAGAACUGUUUAUGCUAAGCUGUUUAGACUUUAUCAGCUAAUCUGUUUAGUUUUGAGCUUUUCUUUAAUGCACUUUUCAGUUAACAAGUCAACAUCAAUUUCUUUUGCUGUAAAAAAGCUUGAGGAAGGUGGCUUGAGAUUCGUCUUAAGUGUUUAUAGCCUCUUGCCUAUGCAGUCGGAGAGAUUGAGGUCUGCAGCGUAGAUCCUUCGGGGCUAAAUGCAUUUGUGCUAAGUUAUAGCAUUUUAUAGACAACUUGUUGACUAUGAUUUGUCUUGUAGCUUACUCGCUUAUGUUAUUUUACCUACGCUUAGGAUGUUGAGCGCAUGUCUCUCUCU